UACGGAGGGUGCAAGCGUUAAUCGGAAUUACUGGGCGUAAAGCGCGCGUAGGUGGUUUGAUAAGCGAGAUGUGAAAGCCCCGGGCUUAACCUGGGAACGGCAUUUCGAACUGUCAGGCUAGAGUAUGGUAGAGGGUAGUGGAAUUUCCUGUGUAGCGGUGAAAUGCGUAGAUAUAGGAAGGAACACCAGUGGCGAAGGCGGCUACCUGGACCAAUACUGACACUGAGGUGCGGAAAGCGUGGGGAGCAAACAGGGAUUAAG
rnacentral:rRNA from 1 species